AAAUUAGUAACAUGUCCUGUUACACCUGGAUUAGUGCCUUGGGCCAGAAGAUCAAAUCAAGAUACCUGGCUUUCUAAAGUAGACUCUGGUGGUUAAUAGUAUGGUUAAUAGUAUGCACUUAGCUGACUGAAUCUGAGUUGCCCCGUAGGAAUGGCUGAAAUCAACUUUGCAGAGGGGAGGAACUGCCUUGCAGCAAUUCCUGCUGAAGCUGUAUGGACUCCCUCUGUAAAUGUAGCAUCUGUCUGCUAUCAUCAUACCACUCAAAAGGGGGCAAAAGGAUAUGAGAAACCAGAACAGGCACAAGAAACAGGAACAAACACUGUCCUGCUGGAUUAGGCAAAAGCAAAACACUGCCUGUGGAGGAGGACAAGUGGCUGAACCUGAGAGAAACUUCUAGGAUCUGAGAGUGAACUUCAUCUCAUCCUUAUGAAGACAGGAGACACAUCAGUGUCCCAGUCACAAGAACUGUAC